rnacentral:rRNA from 1 species
UACGUAGGGUGCAAGCGUUAAUCGGAAUUACUGGGCGUAAAGCGCACGUAGGCGGAUAUUUAAGUCAGGGGUGAAAUCCCAGAGCUCAACUCUGGAACUGCCUUUGAUACUGGGUAUCUUGAGUAUGGAAGAGGUAAGUGGAAUUGCGAGUGUAGAGGUGAAAUUCGUAGAUAUUCGCAGGAACACCAGUGGCGAAGGCGGCUUACUGGUCCAUAACUGACGCUGAGGUGCGAAAGCGUGGGGAGCAAACAGG